rnacentral:sRNA from 14 species
GUGUGAGCUGGCUCCAACAUCUAUCACCUUACCUAUGGAUCGCUUGACAAGUUAUGUGGGUAAAUUCUUCCUUCUUUCCUCCUCCCUGUGAAACUUUCCAAACUCUUAGUCAAAGAGGACAAAAUUCCUUGUUAGUAGAGAACUGGCCUUUUUCAAGGGUCAAUGAGUAGCUAUACUCUCCUAUGUAAACCUACAAAUAGGCUCUAAGAAAUGUUUAAUGAGACUUUGAUAAGUACUUGAGCAUGUUUAAAGAAAAAUAAAACAUUGGCAAUGGUUUUAU